rnacentral:rRNA from 1 species
GACGAACGCUGGCGGCGUGCUUAACACAUGCAAGUCGAACGGAAAGGCCCUGCUUUUGUGGGGUGCUCGAGUGGCGAACGGGUGAGUAACACGUGAGUAACCUGCCCUUGACUUUGGGAUAACUUCAGGAAACUGGGGCUAAUACCGGAUAGGAGCUCCUGCUGCAUGGUGGGGGUUGGAAAGUUUCGGCGGUUGGGGAUGGACUCGCGGCUUAUCAGCUUGUUGGUGGGGUAGUGGCUUACCAAGGCUUUGACGGGUAGCCGGCCUGAGAGGGUGACCGGCCACAUUGGGACUGAGAUACGGCCCAGACUCCUACGGGAGGCAGCAGUGGGGAAUAUUACACAAUGGGCGGAAGCCUGAUGCAGCAACGCCGCGUGCGGGAUGACGGCCUUCGGGUUGUAAACCGCUUUCGCCUAUGACGAAGCGUGAGUGACGGUAAUGGGUAAAGAAGCACCGGCUAACUACGUG